AUACGGAGGAUCCGAGCGUUAUGCGGAUUUAUUGGGUUUAAAGGGUGCGCAGGCGGGAGAUUAAGUCGGCGGUGAAAUUUUGCAGCUCAACUGUAAAAGUGCCUUCGAAACUGGUUUCCUUGAGUGUAGAUGAAGUAGGCGGAAUUUGUGGUGUAGCGGUGAAAUGCAUAGAUAUCACGAGGAACUCCGAUUGCGCAGGCAGCUUACUAAACUACUACUGACGCUCAGGCACGAAGGCGUGGGGAUCAAACAGGAUUAGAUACCCUGGUAGUCCACGCAGUAAACGAUGAUUACUAGCUGUUUGCGAUACAAUGUAAGCGGCUGAGCGAAAGCGUUAAGUAAUCCACCUGGGGAGUACGUUCGCAAGAAUGAAACUCAAAGGAAUUGACGGGG
rnacentral:rRNA from 1 species